AGAGUUUGAUCAUGGCUCAGGACGAACGCUGGCGGCGUGCUUAACACAUGCAAGUCGAACGAUGAUGCCCAGCUUGCUGGGCGGAUUAGUGGCGAACGGGUGAGUAAUACGUGAGUAACCUGCCCUUGACUCUGGGAUAAGCCUGGGAAACUGGGUCUAAUACUGGAUACUACCUCGCACCGCAUGGUGGGUGGUGGAAAGGGUUUUACUGGUUUUGGAUGGGCUCACGGCCUAUCAGCUUGUUGGUGGGGUAAUGGCUCACCAAGGCGACGACGGGUAGCCGGCCUGAGAGGGUGACCGGCCACACUGGGACUGAGACACGGCCCAGACUCCUACGGGAGGCAGCAGUGGGGAAUAUUGCACAAUGGGCGGAAGCCUGAUGCAGCGACGCCGCGUGAGGGAUGACGGCCUUCGGGUUGUAAACCUCUUUCAGUAGGGAAGAAGCGAGAGUGACGGUACCUGCAGAAGAAGCGCCGGCUAACUACGUGCCAGCAGCCGCGGUAAUACGUAGGGCGCAAGCGUUGUCCGGAAUUAUUGGGCGUAAAGAGCUCGUAGGCGGUUUGUCGCGUCUGCUGUGAAAGCCCGGGGCUCAACCCCGGGUCUGCAGUGGGUACGGGCAGACUAGAGUGCAGUAGGGGAGACUGGAAUUCCUGGUGUAGCGGUGAAAUGCGCAGAUAUCAGGAGGAACACCGAUGGCGAA
rnacentral:rRNA from 1 species